rnacentral:rRNA from 1 species
UACAGAGGGUGCAAGCGUUGUUCGGAAUUACUGGGCGUAAAGCGCGUGUAGGCGGUUUCGUAAGUCCUGUGUGAAAGCCCUGGGCUCAACCCAGGAAGUGCGCAGGAUACUGCGGGACUGGAGUGACGGAGAGGAUGGCGGAAUUCCCGGUGUAGAGGUGAAAUUCGUAGAUAUCGGGAGGAACACCUGUGGCGAAGGCGGCCAUCUGGACGUCAACUGACGCUGAGACGCGAAAGCAUGGGGAGCAAACAGG